rnacentral:lncRNA from 1 species
UGUGUGUGUGUGUGUGUGUAAAUAUAUAUGCAUAUACAUAAAUAUAUACAUGUUUGUAUGUUUAUAUAUAUCAAUUCAUGUGUAAGAAUGUUUAGAGAGACACGUUUAAGAUGCUCAUAUAUGUUAUAAUUUUGAUAUUCAAGCACAAAUGAGUCUUUAAUAGAUACCUUUAAAUAUAUAUAUAUAUAUAUAUAUAUAUAUAUAUAGCCAAUAAUGCAGGUAAAUAUACAUACAUAGACAUGUAUGUAGACGCAAUUAUUUAGAAAAUAUGAAGGCAAACAAACACUUGAUAUCAAAGAAACAAGAAAGAUACUAAUAUAAAUAUAUAUGUAUAUGUGUGUGUGUAAUUAUAUAUAUUUAUAUAAAUGUGUGUGUGUGUGUGUGUGUAUCUAGGCAUGUAUGUAUCAUGUAUUUCCUUUCAUUUCAUUAUUAAACUAACAUAUAUAUAUAUAUAUAUAUAUAUAUAUAUAUAUAUAUAUAUUAUUUCAUUAUUGUUUAUGUACUUAUGUACACUAAACAUGUACAAAUUGAAAGUCUUAUUACUGAUUGUAAAAUCAAAAUAAGAUUUAUUAUUAAGAAAUUUUUAUCAUUAGUAGUAACUGUCUAUUAGGAAAUUUUACCAAUAGUCACUUCUUGAAACACUUCUGGGAAACCAGUAUUGGCAAAAGUUCCAAGGAAAUGAUCACUAACAAUAAUACAAGUUAUUAAAAAUAUGCAUAUGCCUGUAUACACACUUAUGUUUAAUAAAUACUAAUGCAUACUCAUACACAGACUUACAUAAAUAUUUAUGUAGAUACCCACACAUAUACAUAUAUGCAUGCUUGCAUAUACACAAUAUAUAUACAUAUAUAUAUAUAUAUAUAUAUAUAUAUAUAUAUAUGAUGAUGUACAUAUUUUUGUAAUUUGCAUGUAUGUAUGUAUAUUUAGUGAUGCCCUCUGUACCAAUUAUUUCACAUAAAUGACAAUAGAGUAAAGACAAAUCAUUAAAUUUUAUGUCUCUCAUUAGAAUAUACUAUACAUAAUUCAUGUGUGUAUGGUUGUGUGUGUAUGCAUAUACACAUAUAUAUAUGUGUGUGUUUGUGUAUGUGUGUGUGUGUGUGUGUGUGUGUGUGUGUGUGUGUAAAUAUAUAUGUAUGUAUGUAUGUUGGCAGGUAGAUAUGUAUGUACACAUGGUAUGUAUGUUUAUAUAUAUAUAGCACUUGAGCAUGUGCACACAUGUGUAUUUGUGAGUGUUUGUGUGCUUUCAACUGUAAAUCAAGUGUUCGCCUCUGUUCUAUUAGAUAAUACAAGCAAAACACAAAAGAGAAAAUGACAUUUUGACUAUGAUUUUUAAAAGUAAACUUUCAACUGCAUACACAUAUAUAUAUAAUAUAUAUAUAUAUAUAUAUAUAUAUAUAUAUAUAUAUAUAUAUAUAUAUAUAUAUAUAUAUAUAUAAUAUCUAUCUAUCUAUCUAUAUAUAUAUAUAUAUAUAUAUAUAUAUAUAUACUGGAGUAAGCACAUAAAUGUGAAACAAGGUGGAAAAAAAGAGUACUCAAAUACCAGAGGUAGAGUAAUAUGCUUUAUUUAAAAGCAGCAGAAAUAUCACAAAAGCUGUUACUCAGAGUUUUACAUUCCCAUUCGUCAGACACUUUUGUCCGACGAACAGGAACAUGAAACUCUGAGUAACAGCUUUUGUUAUAUUUCUGCUACUUUUAAAUAAAGUAUAUAUAUAUAUAUAUAUAUAUGAACCAAUAUACAAAUAUAUAAAGAUAUUUCUGUAUGUGUAUGUACAUAUAGGUAGAAUGCGUGUGUGUGCAUAUGUAGUGUAGUGUGUUUUGUAUAUAUAUAUGUAUAACUUAUAUGUGAAUGUAUAUACAACUAUAAAUGAGUGUGUAUAUAUAUUUGUACAUGUGUCUUUAUAUAGAUAUGUAAGCUUAUAUUUUUGCAGAAGUAUAUAUCUAUGUAUUUAUAGGUAAUUCAUAUAAAGGUUUGUGAUACGUAUGCAUUCAUAAUAUUAUGCAUUUUGAUAGCAAUAUUUAAAUGUUUCUUAGGCAUGUUUAAGUAUAUACAUAAAUACACAGCAAUGUACUUAGUUUGUAUAGCAACAAUUUAUGAUUAUAUACAUUUAUAUACAUAUACUUUCAUAUAAAAAAAUAUGCUUACUUGGAUACAUAUACUUACAUAUGUAUAUGAAUACAUACCUACACUGUAUGCAUUCGUCUAUGUAUGUAAGUGUAUAUGUAUGUAUAUAUGUAUGUAUGUAUGUAUGUAUGUAUGUAUGUAUGUAUGUAUGUAUGUAUGUAUGUAUGUAUGUAUGUAUGCAUGUAUGUAUGUAUGUAUGUAUUAUUCAUUCAAAAUCAUGUGUGCAAUGCUUCAGGUGACUAAAUGAAGGACUAUAUAUAUAUGUGUGUGUGUAUGUGUGUGUGUAUAUAUAUGUAUAUAUUUGUGUGUGUGUGUAAGUGUGUAUAAUAUAUACAUACUUACAUUUAUACAUAGAUACAUGCAUACAUAUUGCUAUAU